rnacentral:lncRNA from 1 species
CAGCUAUUAGCUUUACAAAACGUAGAAACGAAGAAAACUUGUCCGGUGGACUAGAUAGGUGUUUCCUACUACGAGCAUUGCUGCCAACUGUCAUGAAGUCCUCACAUUGUAGCGAGAUGAGACUUGAAGGAGCUACAUUUCGACCAGAAAUGGGAACACAAGAGUCUCUAUUAAUACCACCUGAGGGGACGCUGUGCUGUGGAGGUUCUCAAGCUUCUCUCCUCUCCUCCCUCAAGCAGGACUAUCGCUCACUGACCUGCAGGUCAGCUCCUUCAUUGCUAAAGCCUGAAGAUGGGAGACUUCAAGGACGUGGUUAG